CACGUAGGGGGCAAGCGUUGUCCGGAAUCAUUGGGCGUAAAGCGCGUGUAGGCGGCCCGAUAAGUCCGCUGUGAAAGUCCAGGGCUCAACCCUGGGAUGCCGGUGGAUACUGUCGGGCUCGAGUCCGGAAGAGGCGAGUGGAAUUCCUGGUGUAGCGGUGAAAUGCGCAGAUAUCAGGAGGAACACCAAUGGCGAAGGCAGCUCGCUGGGACGUGACUGACGCUGAGACGCGAAAGCGUGGGGAGCAAACAGG
rnacentral:rRNA from 1 species